rnacentral:misc_RNA from 1 species
GAUGAAGAACGCAGCGAAAUGCGAUAAGUAAUGUGAAUUGCAGAAUUCAGUGAAUCAUCGAAUCUUUGAACGCACAUUGCGCCCCCUGGUAUUCCGGGGGGAAUGCCUGUCCGAGCGUCAUUACAACCCUCAAGCUCAGCUUGGUGUUGGGCCCCGCCGCCCCGGCGGGCCCUAAAGUCAGUGGCGGUGCCGUCCGGCUCCGAGCGUAGUAAUUCUUCUCGCUCUGGAGGUCCGGUCGUGUGCUCGCCAGCAACCCCCAAUUUUUUUCAGGUUGACCUCGGAUCAGGUAGGGAUACCCGCUGAACUUAAGCAUAUCAAUAAGCGGAGGA